GCGCUUAACACAUGCAAGUCGCACGAGAAAGUGGAGCAAUCCAUGAGUACAGUGGCGUACGGGUGAGUAACACGUGGAUCAUCUACCCUUUAGUGGGGAAUAACCCUGGGAAACCGGGGCUAAUACCGCAUAAGCCUGGAAAGGGAAAGCAGCAAUGCGCUGAAGGAGGAGUCCGCGGCCGAUUAGCUUGUUGGUAGGGUAAUGGCCUACCAAGGCAAUGAUCGGUAGCCGGCCUGAGAGGGCACACGGCCACACUGGCACUGAAACACGGGCCAG
rnacentral:rRNA from 1 species